rnacentral:rRNA from 1 species
CGUAGGUGGCGAGCGUUGUCCGGAAUUACUGGGCGUAAAGGGCGUGUAGGCGGCCUUUAAGUCAGAUGUGAAAUCUCAGGGCUUAACCCUGAACUGCAUUUGAAACUGGAGGGCUUGAGGAUCGGAGAGGGCAGUGGAAUUCCCAGUGUAGCGGUGAAAUGCGUAGAUAUUGGGAGGAACACCAGUGGCGAAGGCGACUGCCUGGACGACACCUGACGCUGAGGCGCGAAAGCUAGGGGAGCGAACGGGAUU